CAUGAAGCUGGAAUCGCAGUAAUCGCGGAUCAGAAUGCCGCGGUGAAUACGUUUCCGGGUCUUGUACACACCGCCCGUCACACCAUGGGAGUCGGAAAUGCCCGAAGUCUGUGACCCAACCUUAGGGAGGGAGCAGCCGAAGGCAGGUCGGAUGACUGGGGUGAAGUCGUAACAAGGUACC
rnacentral:rRNA from 1 species